AGUGAACGCUGGCGGUAGGCCUAACACAUGCAAGUCGAACGGCAGCACAGUAAGAGCUUGCUCUUACGGGUGGCGAGUGGCGGACGGGUGAGGAAUACAUCGGAAUCUACUUUUUCGUGGGGGAUAACGUAGGGAAACUUACGCUAAUACCGCAUACGACCUACGGGUGAAGGCAGGGGAUCUUCGGACCUUGCGCGACUGAAUGAGCCGAUGUCGGAUUAGCUAGUUGGCGGGGUAAAGGCACACCAAGGCGACGAUCCGUAGCUGGCCUGAGAGGAUGAUCAGCCACACUGGAACUGAGACACGGUCCAGACUCCUACGGGAGGCAGCAGUGGGGAAUAUUGGACAAUGGGCGCAAGCCUGAUCCAGCCAUACUGCGUGGGUGAAGAAGGCCUUCGGGUUGUAAAGCCCUUUUGUUGGGAAAGAAAAGCAGCAGGUUAAUACCCCGCUGUUCUGACGGUACCCAAAGAAUAAGCACCGGCUAACUUCGUG
rnacentral:rRNA from 1 species